CAACCGGGCCGGCUUUGGCUCCCCUCUUUCUCCAGAGGCACGGAUUGGACCCACGGACGGGGCGUGAUGGUAGUCGGUACCGGGACCUCCUUGGCGCUGUCCUCCCUCCUGUCCCUGCUGCUCUUCGCUGGCAUGCAGAUAUACAGCCGCCAGUUGGCCUCCACCGAGUGGCUCACCAUUCAGGGGGGCCUGCUGGGCUCCGGCCUUUUCGUCUUCUCCCUAACUGCCUUCAAUAAUCUGGAGAAUCUGGUCUUUGGUAAAGGCUUCCAAGCAAAAAUCUUCCCUGAGACUUCAUCUUCUCCAUGGUUGGUCUGUACUACAUCAACAAGAUAUCCUCCACUCUGUACCAGGCUACAGCUCCAGCCCUCACGCCGGCCAAAGUCACUGGCAAGAGCAAGAAGAGAAACUGACUGGGAAUGAGUAAUAAGAACGAGUAAUAAAGUUGCUUCUUUGUA
rnacentral:lncRNA from 1 species